rnacentral:rRNA from 1 species
AAGACUGGGAUAACUCCGGGAAACCGGGGCUAAUACCGGAUGCUUGAUUGAACCGCAUGGUUCAAUCAUAAAAGGUGGCUUUUAGCUACCACUUGCAGAUGGACCCGCGGCGCAUUAGCUAGUUGGUGAGGUAACGGCUCACCAAGGCGACGAUGCGUAGCCGACCUGAGAGGGUGAUCGGCCACACUGGGACUGAGACACGGCCCAGACUCCUACGGGAGGCAGCAGUAGGGAAUCUUCCGCAAUGGACGAAAGUCUGACGGAGCAACGCCGCGUGAGUGAUGAAGGCUUUCGGGUCGUAAAACUCUGUUGUUAGGGAAGAACAAGUGCUAGUUGAAUAAGCUGGCACCUUGACGGUACCUAACCAGAAAGCCACGGCUAACUACGUGCCAGCAGCCGCGGUAAUACGUAGGUGGCAAGCGUUAUCCGGAAUUAUUGGGCGUAAAGCGCGCGCAGGCGGUUUCUUAAGUCUGAUGUGAAAGCCCCCGGCUCAACCGGGGAGGGUCAUUG